GGGACACUAGGACCGGCCGGAGUUGAAGGGGAGACUCCCGUCAGCUCACGGACUAGUUAAUGUUAACAGGACUCACCCGUUGGUAGCUCCGUCGCCUCCCGCCCGCCCGCGCUCGAUCCCACAAUCUGCCUCCAGGGAAAUAUCUACAAGGAUGCACAAGGAGACAUUUACAUGAUGCUCACUGUUUGUUGGAAACUGUCUCUCACUGGAAACAGACUACUCUACAGCCGUUACAAUGAAUGAAUUACAGUUACACUUAUCAACAUGGAGAAAUCUCAAGAACAUAACGUUGAGUGAAGACAAGUUGAAAUGAAUACAUACAACAUUGUGCUAUUUGUCACUACACGCUAAACAAUAUGAUGCAUGAUUUGUGGGUAUUUGUAUGUGUUAUAAAAACACAAAUAUAGACUGCAGCUUUA